UUGACCUCAAAUCAGGUAGGAUACCCGCUGAACU
rnacentral:rRNA from 1 species